rnacentral:rRNA from 1 species
UACAGAGGCUGGCGACCGGCAAACGGGUGCGGAACACGUACGCAACCUUCCUUCAAGUGGGGAAUAGCCCAGGGAAACUUGGAUUAAUACCCCGUAAUAUUAUGAGGUGGCAUCACCUUAUAAUUAUAGCUCCGGCGCUUGAAGAUGGGCGUGCGCCUGAUUAGGUAGUUGGCGGGGUAACGGCCCACCAAGCCUUCGAUCAGUAACUGGUGUGAGAGCACGACCAGUCACACGGGCACUGAGACACGGGCCCGACUCCUACGGGAGGCAGCAGUAAGGAAUAUUGGUCAAUGGACGCAAGUCUGAACCAGCCAUGCCGCGUGGAGGAUGAAGGUCCUCUGGAUUGUAAACUUCUUUUAUCUGGGAAGAAAUCCACGAUUUCUAUUGUGGUUGACGGUACCAGAUGAAUAAGCACCGGCUAACUCCGUGCCAGCAGCCGCGGUAAUACGGAGGGUGCAAGCGUUAUCCGGAUUCACUGGGUUUAAAGGGUGCGUAGGCGGGCAGGUAAGUCAGUGGUGAAAUCCCCGAGCUUAACUCGGGAACUGCCGUUGAUACUAUCUGUCUUGAAUACUGUGGAGGUAAGCGGAAUAUGUC